rnacentral:rRNA from 1 species
UCCCAGCUCCCCGAGUGGUCGGGACGGUUAUUUGGCCUAAAGCAUCCGUAGCCGGCCCUGUCCGUCUUCCGUUAAAUCUAACGGCCCAACCGUUAGGCUGCGGAAGAUACCACAGGGCUAGGGGGCGGGAGAGGUGGACGGUACUCCAAGGGUAGGGGUAAAAUCCUCUGAUCCUUGGAAGACCACCGGUGGCGAAGGCGGUCCACCAGAACGCGCCCGACGGUGAGGGAUGAAAGCUGGGGGAGAGAACCGG